rnacentral:rRNA from 1 species
UACGUAGGGGGCAAGCGUUGUCCGGAUUUUUUGGGCGUAAAGAGCGUGUAGGCGGCCAGGUAGGUCCGUUGUGAAAACUGGAGGCUUAACCUCCAGCUGUCGAUGGAAACCAUCUGGCUAGAGUCCGGAAGAGGAGAGUGGAAUUCCUGGUGUAGCGGUGAAAUGCGCAGAUAUCAGGAAGAACACCCGUGGCGAAGGCGGCUCUCUGGGACGGUACUGACGCUGAGACGCGAAAGCGUGGGGAGCGAACAGG